rnacentral:rRNA from 1 species
GUAGGUGGCAAGCGUUGUCCGGGAAUUAUGGGGCGUAAAGCGCGCGCAGGCGGUUCUUUAAGUCUGAUGUGAAAGCCCACGGGCUCAACCGGUGGAGGGUCAUUGGAAACUGGAGAACUUGAGUACAGAAGAGGAAAGCGGAAUUCCACGUGUAGCGGUGAAAUGCGUAGAGAUGUGGAGGAACACCAGUGGCGAAGGCGGCUUUCUGGUCUGUAACUGACGCUGAGGCGCGAAAGCGUGGGGAGCAAACAGGAUUAGAUACCCUGGUAGUCCACGCCGUAAACGAUGAGUGCUAAGUGUUAGGGGGUUUCCGCCCCUUAGUGCUGCAGCUAACGCAUUAAGCACUCCGCCUGGGGAGUACGGCCGCAAAGGCUGA